rnacentral:lncRNA from 1 species
CUAAUUGGAGCAAUAGCGUCAGUUUCUCAUCAGUCGUUCAAUAAGCAUUUCUCAAGCAGUCGCUGUGUGCCGGACACAAGCACUGGAGAGACGAAGCAAAGCGGAAGGCAGCCCCUGCCCUCGAGGAGCUCACAGUCUGAGGAAGAAGACAGCAGGGAAACAAAUAGAGAACCACUGGCGUUGGGUGAGCAGGAGGCUGAAAGAAAACCACUUUGCAGUGCUGUAGGCGGGGAAGGCCUGGGUGGGGAGAGCCCCGAGGCAGGAAGGCCCCUGAGGGAGCCCUGGAGCAGUCACCUAGGAGACAGUGGAGGACCUGGACGCAGGGCAAAGAAGGCGUCAGAACGAGGAGAUGCCGUGCAGGCGGGACAGCGAGGGAGCAGAUCUUGCGCUUCUACACAGACCUUGGGUGACGGUGUGAUAGAACACGAUGGCUCUCCACUGCAAUAGGGCUGUCCCUCCCUGCCCCCCAAUUCCGCCCCAGGAGUCUGCUUGGCUUCGGGGUGAAAACUCCUCCCAAUUCCAUGUGUAAGGGUCUGUUCUGGGCUGUUUUUCCAGUUGUCGCAUCUUUAAUGCAUAGCGCAGUGGGUGGCACAGAGCAGAUUCUUGACAAACGCUGCUGACGUCAGGAGAUGAGCCCCAAGGGCAGACCUCAGGCAGUGAUAUGGGGGGGGCGCUUCUCAGUAGGACCCGGAGCACCAGGAAGGCAGGAUUCCCUCCUCUGACCAGGCAGCCAGCCUGGGGACAGACACCGUCCCAAAGGGCGGAGAUCCAUCGGCAUCCACGGCCUCGCGCAGGGCCCGGCUGGCUGCGGAGGACGCCGGCUCAUCACCUCGCCCCCUCCCCCUGCUGAGGACAUCUUGGCGGCCGUGCCGUCCCCCGGGGUCUCACCCUGCCCCCACAGGACCGUCCUGCGUCCAUCCUCCUCUGGCAUCUCCCCUCCCACGGUCCAGCUCACCCUCGACCCCAGAGUGUACUGCCACGGAAGCAGGAUUGACGGGCGCUGACAUUUCUAAGGCGCUUUGAGGAUGGCAAAGCGCUUUCUACACACGUGACCUCACCAUGGGGGCGGGGGGGCCGUACAGGUACGAUUAUCCCUAAUUUACAGACGAAGAGACUGAGGUCCAGAGGGGUCCCUGACUCUCCCAAGUCGCUCCGCUACGUGGUAGCAUAACCUUGACUUCA